CUCCUGGAAACGGGUGGUAAUGCCGGAUGUGCCGGGCUCCUGCAUGGGGGUCCGGGAAAGCUCUGGCGGCGUGGGAUGGGGUCGCGUCCUAUCAGCUUGUUGGCGGGGUGAGGGCCCACCAAGGCUUCGACGGGUAGCCGGCCUGAGAGGGCGACCGGCCACAUUGGGACUGAGAUACGGCCCAGACUCCUACGGGAGGCAGCAGUGGGGAAUAUUGCACAAUGGGCGCAAGCCUGAUGCAGCGACGCCGCGUGCGGGAUGGAGGCCUUCGGGUUGUAAACCGCUUUUGUUUGGGAGCAAGCCCUUCGGGGUGAGUGUACCUUUCGAAUAAGCACCGGCUAACUACGUGCCAGCAGCCGCGGUAAUACGUAGGGUGCGAGCGUUAUCCGGAUUUAUUGGGCGUAAAGGGCUCGUAGGCGGUUCGUCGCGUCCGGUGUGAAAGUCCAUCGCCUAACGGUGGAUCUGCGCCGGGUACGGGCGGGCUGGAGUGCGGUAGGGGAGACUGGAAUUCCCGGUGUAACGGUGGAAUGUGUAGAUAUCGGGAAGAACACC
rnacentral:rRNA from 1 species